AACGAACGCUGGCGGCAGGCUUAACACAUGCAAGUCGAACGCCCCGCAAGGGGAGUGGCAGACGGGUGAGUAACGCGUGGGAAUCUACCCAGAUCUUCGGAACAACUGAGGGAAACCUCAGCUAAUACCGGAUACGCCCUACGGGGGAAAGAUUUAUCGGAUCUGGAUGAGCCCGCGUUGGAUUAGCUAGUUGGUGGGGUAAUGGCCUACCAAGGCGACGAUCCAUAGCUGGUCUGAGAGGAUGAUCAGCCACACUGGGACUGAGACACGGCCCAGACUCCUACGGGAGGCAGCAGUGGGGAAUAUUGGACAAUGGGCGAAAGCUUGAUCCAGCCAUGCCGCGUGAGUGAUGAAGGCCUUAGGGUUGUAAAGCUCUUUCAGUAGGGAAGAUAAUGUCGGUACCUACAGAAGAAGCCCCGGCUAACUUCAUGCCAGCCGCCGCGGUAAGAC
rnacentral:rRNA from 1 species